rnacentral:rRNA from 1 species
ACGAACGCUGGCGGCGUGCUUAACCCCUGCAAGUCGAACGAUGAAGACAAGAAUCGAAGCUUCGGCAGAAAUUCAUUUCGGAUUAGUGGCAGACGGGUGAGUAACGCGUGAGCAACCUACCUCUUACAAAGGGAUAGCCUCGGGAAACCGGGAUUAAUACCAUAUAACAUUGCGACGAAGCAUUUCGAUGCAAUCAAAGCUACGGCGGUAAGAGAUGGGCUCGCGUCCCAUUAACCGGAUGGUGAGGUAACGGCUCACCAUAGUGACGAUGGGUAACCGGCCUGAGAGGGUGAACGGUCACACUGGAACUGAGACACGGUCCAGACUCCUACGGGAGGCAGCAGUGGGGAAUAUUGCACAAUGGAGGGAACUCUGAUGCAGCGACGCCGCGUGAGUGAUGAAGGAAUUCGUUUCGUAAAACUCUGUUCUAUGGGAAGAAAAGGACUGUACCAUAGGAGAAAGCUCCGGCUAAAUACGUG